rnacentral:rRNA from 1 species
UGAGCAAUCUGCCCUUCACAUCGGAAUAACCAUUAGAAACGAUGGCUAAUACCGAAUAUGACUUCGGAUCGCAUGAUCUGAAGUGGAAAGCUCCGGCGGUGAAGGAUGAGCUCGCGGCCUAUCAGCUUGUUGGUGAGGUAAUAGCUCACCAAGGCGAUGACGGGUAGCCGGCCUGAGAGGGUGACCGGCCACACUGGGACUGAGACACGGCA